UGGAUUAUCCACAAGCUAUUGCUCACAGCAGUUUAUGGCUACAUAUUAUUUGUGCAUUUCGCAAAAUGGAGAGAGAGGCUGCCUCCUAGACCAGCGUUCCACAACUACGUUAUAGUGAUGUUUGUCAUUAAUGCUGUGGCAUGCUGUGGCAUUGUUUGCAUGUGGGCUUGCUGUACUUGGGGCUGGCUUUGGCAUUUGGUUGUACGAUUUCAUGGUUGUCUGCUAUCACUCUCUUUACCUUCCUUUUCUCUACAUAACAUUUCUAGCAGAUUUUUUCCAGGAAGAAGAUUUCCUUUUGGAUAAUGCAUAUUACUCUGAGAUGAAGGAUGCCGGCUUCUUUGAUGCUGAUUGGGAUUAAUUCACUAACGGGUGAAUUGAAAAAAGGCAUACAAUUGUAUUCUCUGUAAAUAAAUGUGAAUGAAAAAAACAUUUAAUUCUGUUGAUAAAGCAAACAAAAAGUGGAUGAAUUGUG
rnacentral:misc_RNA from 1 species